rnacentral:sRNA from 1 species
AUAUAUAUAUAUACUGAGUGUAUAUGUAUUAAUAAUCAGGACGAAUUAAAAUUUGGUUUUUUUUACUUACUGGUAUAUCAUACAAGUAUAUAUUUAAAUCAAUUUGAUAGUUAUACAUGUAUUAUUGUGUGAGAUAAUUUGACCGCAGGAAAAUAGGUGAAAAUCUAUUUCCCUCCGUAAUAAAACGUGUAAAUUUAUUAGAUACACGUUGUUUUCUUGUUUUGAUAUUGUCAUACAAAAUCUUUACUCAUUUGGGUUUAAUUCGGAAAAGUUAAGUGGAAAUGUGUAUUUUCGAACCCAACAUUCUGCAUUGAAAUGUUGCUAUAAAGAUUUACGAGUAUUUUUGUUACAAGAGUAUGUCAUAAGAAAUUUCUAUAUGGUAAUAUUUAUCUAAAUAGAUUCAUUUACCGUGUAUUGUUCAAAUCAUUUUUUUUUCAGGACACAAAAAUGUAUUGUUCAUGCAAUGUUUAUCAUAUUGAAUAUUUAUAUAAAUAUUACGGAAACAUAC